rnacentral:ncRNA from 1 species
ACUAUGGAGAGUACAAUAACUUAUGAGUAAAUACAUUUUGUAUUGAAAAUAUACUCGUUGAAGUAGUAA